UACUCCUACGGGAGGCAGCAGUGGGGAAUCAUGGUCAAUGGGCGAAAGCCUGAACCUGCGACGCCGCGUGAGUGAUGAAGGUCGUAAGAUCGUAAAACUCUUUUCAGGGAUCUUAAAGCUCCGGCUCUAACAGAGCCUGGAGUGUGACUCUCCCUGGAAUAAGCCCCAGCCAACUACGUGCCAGCAGCUGCGGUAAUACGUAGGGGGCGAGCGUUAUUCGGAAUUACUGGGUGUAAAGGGUAUGUAGGCGGCCUGACAAGUCGCGUGUCAAAGUCCAGCGCUUAACGCUGGGUUCGCACGCGAUACUGUCUGGCUUGAGGGCCGGAGAGGUGAGCGGAAUUCCCGGCGUAGUGGUAAAAUACGUAGAUAUCGGGAGGAACACCAGCGGCGUAGGCGGCUCACUAGACAGUUUCUG
rnacentral:rRNA from 1 species